AUGGCUCAGUGGUAAAAGCACUGACUCUUCUUCCAGAGGACCUGGGUUCAAUUCCCAGU
rnacentral:tRNA from 1 species